rnacentral:rRNA from 1 species
CGCUAGAGAUAGCUUAGUGCCUUCGGGAACUCUGAGACAGGUGCUGCAUGGCUGUCGUCAGCUCGUGUUGUGAAAUGUUGGGUUAAGUCCCGCAACGAGCGCAACCCUUAUCCUUGUUUGCCAGCACAUAAUGGUGGGAACUCCAGGGAGACUGCCGGUGAUAAACCGGAGGAAGGUGGGGACGACGUCAAGUCAUCAUGGCCCUUACGAGUAGGGCUACACACGUGCUACAAUGGCGUAUACAGAGGGCUGCCAACCAGCGAUGGUGAGCGAAUCCCAGAAAGUACGUCGUAGUCCGGAUUGGAGUCUGCAACUCGACUCCAUGAAGUCGGAAUCGCUAGUAAUCGUGGAUCAGAAUGCCACGGUGAAUACGUUCCCGGGCCUUGUACACACCGCCCGUCACACCAUGGGAGUGGGCUGCACCAGAAGUAGAUAGCUUAACCUUCGGGAGGGCGUUUACCACGGUGUGGUUCAUGACUGGGGUGAAGUCGUAACAAGGUAGCCCUAGGGGAACCUGGGGCUGGAUCACCUCCUUAACGA